rnacentral:rRNA from 1 species
AUUGAACGCUGGCGGCAGGCCUAACACGUGCAAGUCGAGCGGAUGAAGGGAGCUUGCUCCUGGAUUCAGCGGCGGACGGGUGCGUAAUGCCUAGGAAUCUGCCUGGUAGUGGGGGAUAACGUCCGGAAACGGGCGCUAAUACCGCAUACGUCCUGAGGGAGAAAGUGGGGGAUCUUCGGACCUCACGCUAUCAGAUGAGCCUAGGUCGGAUUAGCUAGUUGGUGGGGUAAAGGCCUACCAAGGCGACGAUCCGUAACUGGUCUGAGAGGAUGAUCAGUCACACUGGAACUGAGACACGGUCCAGACUCCUACGGGAGGCAGCAGUGGGGAAUAUUGGACAAUGGGCGAAAGCCUGAUCCAGCCAUGCCGCGUGUGUGAAGAAGGUCUUCGGAUUGUAAAGCACUUUAAGUUGGGAGGAAGGGCAGUAAGUUAAUACCUUGCUGUUUUGACGUUACCAACAGAAUAAGCACCGGCUAACUUC